rnacentral:lncRNA from 1 species
ACAGAAGCCCCAUCCCCACAGCCACAGGCACCAAGGCGAGAGAGAAAGAAAGAGCAGGGAGGCGGGCGAAGCGCAGGGAGAGAAGCAGAGAAGAAAUAUUCACCUUCCCGCCUCAUGCCCACUUUGAGGCACUUCUUGAGGCGGCAGUAUUGGCACUGGUUGCGGUGGUGCUGGUCGAUGGGACAGUUCCUGUUGGCACGGCAUGUGUGGCUAUGGAAUGGUGUAGCAGAUUGCUGCAGAUGGUUUCAAUAGUUCUGCUGAAUGCUCCUCGUUUGUGCCUGCAAGAGGAACUCAAGGCUUUAUGUAUGGCCAUUGCUGUGACCUAGUGUGAUGCUCUACUUUUCCACUGAACUCUGCUUGCUCUAACUGAGGACCUUAGCUAUAAUUUAGCCUUUUCUUUUUAUAUUAAGCUGUUGUUGAGGAAGGAGCUUUGGCAAUAGAAGUAACCAAGCAGCAGGUUCAGUUCCACUGUUGACACAAUUGGAAACGGAUCCCUACUUUAUGCAUUGGAGAUGCUAUGAAGACUACUCUGAUGUUCCCCUAUUGGGAUAGUGAAGUAUGAUGCUUCAUUGGUUGAGUGUAUGCAAUCAAAAUAAGAGUGAAAAAGGAAGAUCUGGGGGGUGGGCAGAUGCCUGCUGGGUAAACUAUUUGUGGCAUAAACUUGAUAACCCCACAGGAAAGCCAGAUGUUGUCAUGUGCUUCUAACCACAAUUCUGCUAUUGAAUGGGGGCUUACUGGUCAGUGACUAGCCAAAAUGUGAGCUUCAUGUGCUGAGAGAACUACCUAUCUCAAAAAUAAGGUGAAAGGGUUAGAGAGGUUGCAAAGUAGCACUGACUGAUCUCUCAGAGGAAAACGUGGGUUCAACCCCUAGCACCCACAUAGCAGCCAACAACCAUCUGUACUCUAGUCUCAGGGGAUCUAGUUCCUUCUUAUAUCCUCAGUGAACACUGCACAUAUAUUGUGCAUAGACAUACAUUCGGUCAAACAAACACUCAGACACAUAAAAAUAAAUGAAAUCUCAAAAUAUUUUAAAAAGAUAAUGUGGAGGGUGAUUGAGGCCUUAUAUUAAUCUUUAGACUUUGCAAAAUGAGUUUUAUACACACACACACACAAAACACACAAACACACUAUAUGUACACACACAUAUAUACACUAACACACACACUUGAAAAAAUGUUAUUGCUUAAAUUUUUUUGAUAACUUGUCUCAGAAUUUUUAUUAUUGAUUUCAUUAUAAUAUUUA